rnacentral:lncRNA from 1 species
UGAUCCAAAUAGAUAUCUCAGACAUUUUUGUCAAAGAAACUCUUUUUCUCAAAGGAAGAUUUGAAUAGGAACAACUCUCCUCAUCCUUAACUUUUGUAAAUGUCUCCCUUUUUUCAGGUUCUUGAUAAGUAGUAGUAGUAUUAGUAAUCUGAUCAAUAAUGGAACAACUCUCCUCAUCCUUAACUUCUGUAAAUAUCUCCGCUUUUUCAGGUUCUUGAUAAGUAGUAGUAGUAGUAUCAGUUAUAUAAUCAAUAAUUCUAUUGACUUUUGUACAGUUAUCAUUGAAACAAGAAACUAAGUCAUAAGGCAAAUUCACUUGUACCCAACUGUUGGAUUGCUCAUCAUAUUCC